CGCAUAUAUGCACGGCUUUUGUGCUCAAUCCACUACUCAAACCCUUGUGCACCUUUGCGAAGUCAGUAGCUUUCUUACUUUUUGUAUUCUUCGGCCGUGUAGUGCUUGCCUUGCGAGUUCCUUCACUUUGGUCGGAGGGGGAGCGAAAGCUUUGAUUUUAUUACAAACGCAUUUGUAUGUCUUGUGGAAUGUGAUGGCAAUAUGAAAUACAACUUUCAACAACGGAUCUCUUGGCUCUCGCAUCGAUGAAGAACGCAGCGAAAUGCGAUAAGUAAUGUGAAUUGCAGAAUUCAGUGAAUCAUCGAAUCUUUGAACGCACCUUGCGCCCCUUGGUAUUCCGAGGGGCAUGCCUGUUUGAGUGUCAUGUUAAUCUCAAACCGCACCUUGACUUUUGGUCUGGGUCGGUUUGGACUUGGAGGUUACUGCUGGCUCUUACUUUGUUUUGUAGUCGGCUCCUCUGAAAUGCAUUAGCCGGACUUUGGUUCGCAUUCGCGGUGUAAUAGUGUGCAAACGUAUAAUUGUUCGCCCGAGUGCUUGCCUAAGGAGUCUGCUUCUAAUCGCCCUCUUGUUGGGGCAAGGUCCUUCGUUUGACCUUUUUGAACACUUUGACCUCAAAUCAGGUGGGAUUACCCGCUGAACUUAA
rnacentral:rRNA from 1 species